rnacentral:rRNA from 1 species
GAGCGAUCCCUUCGGGGAUAGCGGCGGACGGGUGAGUAACGCGUGGGAACGUGCCCUUCUCUACGGAAUAGCCCAGGGAAACUUGGAUUAAUACCGUAUACGCCCUUCGGGGGAAAGAUUUAUCGGGGAAGGAUCGGCCCGCGUUGGAUUAGGUAGUUGGUGGGGUAAUGGCCUACCAAGCCGACGAUCCAUAGCUGGUUUGAGAGGAUGAUCAGCCACACUGGGACUGAGACACGGCCCAGACUCCUACGGGAGGCAGCAGUGGGGAAUCUUAGACAAUGGGGGAAACCCUGAUCUAGCCAUGCCGCGUGAGUGACGAAGGCCCUAGGGUCGUAAAGCUCUUUCGCCGGGGAAGAUAAUGACGGUACCCGGUAAAGAAGUCCCGGCUAACUCCGUGCCAGCAGCCGCGGUAAUACGGAGGGGACUAGCGUUGUUCGGAAUUACUGGGCGUAAAGCGCGCGUAGGCGGACUACUAAGUCAGGGGUGAAAUCCCGGGGCUCAACCCCGGAACUGCCUUUGAUACUGGUAGUCUUGAGUUCGAGAGAGGUGAGUGGAACUCCGAGUGUAGAGGUGAAAUUCGUAGAUAUUCGGAAGAACACCA